rnacentral:lncRNA from 1 species
UGGUUUUGGUAUCAAUAUAAUCAGUACUUGAUGAUAUAUAAAGAAUCAUUGGAGAAAGUAGGCAUUAUCUUCAGGCCCUUUUUAGCAGUACCGCAUUUACUCAAAAAAACAGAUUUUUUUUCUUCACAUUUUUCGACUGGGGUCACCUCCGAUAAAAAAUUGUGAAAAUUCAGAGAGGAUUGCCAGAACGUUUUAAAGAUGAUUUAUUUGUGGCAUAUAUAUUUGUGCAUCUAACGCACUAUGAAUUGCACGAUACAAGAAAGUAUUAAAUACCGUAUAGGUUACAAUACACCAUUAGAUUUUAUGGGCGCAGCCAUUUUAUGAGCAUAACAUGGUAUUCAGAAUUAAGAGUAUGGCUAAUCCUGAUUGGUCGAUAUGUGCGCCCGUUAUUUUUUUUAUUAUUAGAGACUUCGUGCACUCUGCUUUAUACAAAAGGCAAAAUAAAAAUUAUUCCGUAGCCCUAAAGGCACUGAGAUGACUUUUCAACGCUAGGACAAGACACGUAUUUUUAAGGGCAAAAUUGAUAGGCAUGGGAGAUAAGUACAAAAUACGCUAAGAAAAGCAACGCGAACCUAUAUUUUUUGGACCAAAAAAUACUGUCCUAAUAACUUUUCUUUGAUUCUAGCAAGGUUUCGUUAAGAAAAUCAACUUUCUAAAGUCUGUAUCUCGAAAAAGGCUACCAUUGUCGCCUAUGGGGAAAUUAAUUGUUUAUUUCAAUCUGUAGCAAUAGUAU